UGGCGGACGGGUGAGUAAUGUCUGGGAAACAGCCUGAUGGAGGGGGAUAACUACUGGAAACGGUAGCUAAUACCGCAUAACGUCGCAAGACCAAGAGGGGACCUUCGGGCCUCUUGCCAUCGGAUGUGCCCAGAUGGGAUUAGCUAGUAGGUGGGGUAACGGCUCACCUAGGCGACGAUCCCUAGCUGGUCUGAGAGGAUGACCAGCCACACUGGAACUGAGACACGGUCCAG
rnacentral:rRNA from 1 species